GCAGUCGAACGGUAACAUAAAGAAGCUUGCUUCUUUGAUGACGAGUGCCGUACGGGUGAGUAAUGCUUGGGAAUCUAGCUUAUGGAGGGGGAUAACUACGGGAAACUGUAGCUAAUACCGCGUAAUAUCGAAAGAUUAAAGUGUGGGACCUUCGGGCCACAUGCCAUAGGAUGAGCCCAAGUGGGAUUAGGUAGUUGGUGAGGUAAAGGCUCACCAAGCCGACGAUCUCUAGCUGGUCUGAGAGGAUGACCAGCCACACUGGGACUGAGACACGGCCCAGACUCCUACGGGAGGCAGCAGUGGGGAAUAUUGCGCAAUGGGGGCAACCCUGACGCAGCCAUGCCGCGUGAAUGAAGAAGGCCUUCGGGUUGUAAAGUUCUUUCGGUAGCGAGGAAGGCAUUUAGUUUAAUAAACUAGGUGAUUGACGUUAACUACAGAAGAAGCACCGGCUAACUCCGUGCCAGCAGCCGCGGUAAUACGGAGGGUGCGAGCGUUAAUCGGAAUAACUGGGCGUAAAGGGCACGCAGGCGGUGACUUAAGUGAGGUGUGAAAGCCCCGGGCUUAACCUGGGAAUUGCAUUUCAUACUGGGUCGCUAGAGUACUUUAGGGAGGGGUAGAAUUCCACGUGUAGCGGUGAAAUGCGUAGAGAUGUGGAGGAAUACCGAAGGCGAAGGCAGCCCCUUGGGAAUGUACUGACGCUCAUGUGCGAAAGCGUGGGGAGCAAA
rnacentral:rRNA from 1 species